AACGUACGCUGGCGGCACGCCUAACACAUGCAAGUCGAACGAAGUAGCAAUACUUAGUGGCAGACGGGUGAGUAACAUGUGGGUAUCUGCCCUUUGGCCUGGAAUAACACGAGGAAACUUGUGCUAAUACCGGAUAAGUCUUUACAGAGAAAGCUUUAUGCACCAUUGGAUGAGCCCGCACUUGAUUAGUUUGUUGGUGGGGUAAUGGCCUACCAAGACUAUGAUCAAUAGCUGAUUUGAGAGGAUGAUCAGCCACAUUGGGACUGAGACACGGCCCAAACUCCUACGGGAGGCAGCAGUGGGGAAUCUUGCACAAUGGAGGAAACUCUGAUGCAGCGAUGCCGCGUGAGUGAAGAAGGCCCUUGGGUUGUAAAGCUCUUUCGUCGGGGAAGAAAAUGACUGUACCCGAAUAAGAAGGUCCGGCUAACUUCGUGCCAGCAGCCGCGGUAAUACGAAGGGACCUAGCGUAGUUCGGAAUUACUGGGCUUAAAGAGUUCGUAGGUGGUUGAAAAAGUUGGUGGUGAAAUCCCAGAGCUUAACUCUGGAACUGCCAUCAAAACUUUUCAGCUAGAGUAUGAUAGAGGAAAGCAGAAUUUCUAGUGUAGAGGUGAAAUUCGUAGAUAUUAGAAAGAAUACCAAUUGCGAAGGCAGCUUUCUGGAUCAUUACUGACACUGAGGAACGAAAGCAUGGGUAGCGAAGAGGAUUAGAUACCCUCGUAGUCCAUGCCGUAAACGAUGUGUGUUAGACGUUGGAAAUUUAUUUUCAGUGUCGCAGCGAAAGCGAUAAACACACCGCCUGGGGAGUACGACCGCAAGGUUAAAACUCAAAUGAAUUGACGGGGACCCGCACAAGUAGUGGAGCAUGUGGUUUAAUUCGAAGAUACGCGCAGAACCUUACCGACACUUGACAUGUUCGUCGCGACUUUAAGAGAUUAAAGUUUUCGGUUCGGCCGGACGAAACACAGGUGCUGCAUGGCUGUCGUCAGCUCGUGUCGUGAGAUGUUGGGUUAAGUCCCGCAACGAGCGCAACCCUCACUUUUAGUUGCCAUCAUUUAGUUGGGCACUCUGAAAGAACUGCCAGUGAUAAGCUGGAGGAAGGUGGGGAUGACGUCAAGUCCUCAUGGCCCUUACGUGUUGGGCUACACACGUGCUACAAUGGUAUCUACAACAGGAAGCAAGACGGCGACGUCAAGCAAAUCCUUAAAAGAUACCUCAGUUCGGAUUGCACUCUGCAACUCGAGUGCAUGAAGCUGGAAUUACUAGUAAUCGUGGAUCAGCGUGCCACGGUGAAUGCGUUCCCGGGUCUUGUACACACCGCCCGUCACACCAUGGGAGUUGGUUCUACCUUAAGGCAAGGUUUAAAACCCUUGACCACGGUAUAGUCAGCGACUGGGGUGAAGUCGUAACAAGGUAGCCGUAGGGGAACCUGCGGCUGGAUUACCUCCUU
rnacentral:rRNA from 1 species